rnacentral:rRNA from 1 species
AGGGCGCAUGGCGGAUGCCUUGGCUCUCGGAGGCGAUGAAGGACGUGAUAAGCUGCGAUAAGCUUCGGGUAGGUGCAAAUAACCUUUGAUCCGGAGAUUUCCGAAUGGGACAACCCGAUUGGUUGAAGACCAAUCAUCCAACAGUGUUGGAGGCUAACGCAGGGAACUGAAACAUCUUAGUACCUGCAGGAAAAGAAAAUAAAUAAUGAUUCCCCCAGUAGUGGCGAGCGAACGGGGAACAGCCCAAACCAUCCAUGUUACGGCAUGGGUGGGGUUGUAGGACUACGCCGUUGCAUGAAGACAUCAGAGAAGAACUUUCUGGAAAGAAAGACCAUAGAGCAUGACAGUUGCGUAUUCGAAUGUUGUCGAAGCAUAGUAGUAUCCUGAGUAGCGCGGAGCACGAGGAAUUCUGCGUGAAUCUGCCGGGACCAUCCGGUAAGGCUAAAUACUCCCGAGAGACCGAUAGCGAACCAGUACCGUGAGGGAAAGGUGAAAAGCACUUCGAACAGAAGAGUGAAAUAGUUCCUGAAACCGUGCGCCUACAAGCGGUCGGAGCUCGUUAAUGAGUGACGGCGUGCCUUUUGCAUAAUGAACCUACGAGUUGCCUUUGCCGGCAAGGUUAAGUGUGACGACACACGUAUCCGAAGCGAAAGCGAGUCUGAACAGGGCGUAUAGUCGGCAGUGGCAGACGCGAAACCAAGUGAUCUACCCUUGGCCAGGUUGAAGGCUGGGUAACACCAGCUGGAGGACCGCACCAAUAAGCGUUGAAAAGCUUCUGGAUGAGCUGAGGGUAGGGGUGAAAGGCUAAUCAAACUUGGAGAUAGCUCGUACUCCCCGAAAUGCAUUUAGGUGCAGCCUUGACUUAUACUGGCAUGAGGUAGAGCGACUGAUAAGAUGCGAGGGCUUCACCGCCUAUCAAGUCUUGACAAACUCCGAAUGCGCAUCAGUUCUACCGCAGGAGUGAGGGCAUGGGUGCUAAGGUCCGUGCCCGAGAGGAGAAGAAUCCGGACCACCUGCUAAGGUCCCGAAAUGACAGCUAAGUUAAACUAACGAAGUCUGACUGCUAAGACAGCUAGGAUGUUGGCUUGGAAGCAGCCAUUCAUUUAAAGAGUGCGUAACAGCUCACUAGUCGAGGAGUCGGGCGUGGAUAAUAAUCGGGUAUUAAGUUGUCUACCGAAGCAGUGGGAUCAUUAAUAUGAUCGGUAGGGGAGCAUUCCAGUCAGCGUCGAAGGCGUACCGUGAGGUAUUCUGGAGCGUCUGGAAAAGCAAAUGUAGGUAUAAGUAACGAUAAAGGGGGCGGGAAACCCCCUCGCCGAAAGACUAAGGUUUCCUGAUCAACGCUAAUCGGAUCAGGGUCAGUCGGGUCCUAAGGCUCAGCCGAACGGCGAUGCCGAUGGCAGAAACGGUUAAUAUUCCGUUACUACCUUCAGGAGUGACGUGGAGACGCAGUAGUGACAGUGCCGCCAUCUGACGGAAUAGAUGGUUGAAGGGUGUAGGAGUCGAUCAUGGCAGGCAAAUCCACCAUGAGAUCCGAACCUGACAGUAUGCCGCGUCCUUCGGGACAAGGCAAUAGUGCGCGUAAGCAUGCUGCCGAGAAAAUCCGCUAAACUUAAUCCUGCAGGUACCCGUACCGCAAACGGACACACGUAGUCGGGAUGAAUAUUCUAAGGCGCUUGAGUGAUUCACGGUUAAGGAACUAGGCAAACUGACCCUGUAACUUCGGGAUAAAGGGUCCCUACCCUUUUAUGGGAGGGCGCAGAGAAUCGGUCCAGGCAACUGUUUAACAAAAACACAGGGCUGUGCCAAAUCGAAAGAUCCAGUAUACAGCCUGACACCUGCCCGGUGCUGGAAGGUUAAGAGGAGAUGUCAUCGAUAAGAGAAGCGUUGAAUUGAAGCCCCAGUAAACGGCGGCCGUAACUAUAACGGUCCUAAGGUAGCGAAAUUCCUUGUCGGGUAAGUUCCGACCUGCACGAAUGGUGUAAUGAUCUGGACGCUGUCUCAACCGUGAGCUCAGUGAAAUUGUAGUAUCGGUGAAGAUGCCGAUUACCCGCGAUGGGACGAAAAGACCCCGUGAACCUUUACUAUAGCUUAACAUUGAAUUUGGGUAAUUGAUGUGUAGGAUAGGCCGGAGGCUUUGAAGCAGGUACGCCAGUAUUUGUGGAGCCGCUGUUGAAAUACGGCCCUUUGAUUAUUUGAGUUCUAACCCGUUGUAACGGGGACACUGUUUGGUGGGUAGUUUGACUGGGGUGGUCGCCUCCAAAAGCGUAACGGAGGCUUCU